UCUCUGGUAGCUGAGUUGGUAAAGGAUCUGCCUGCAGUGCAGGAGACCCAGGUUUGAUGCCUGGGUUGGGAA
rnacentral:tRNA from 1 species